rnacentral:rRNA from 1 species
AGACCCGAAACCCGGUGAUCUAGCCAUGGGCAGGUUGAAGGUUGGGUAACACUAACUGGAGGACCGAACCGACUAAUGUUGAAAAAUUAGCGGAUGACCUGUGGCUGGGGGUGAAAGGCCAAUCAAACCGGGAGAUAGCUGGUUCUCCCCGAAAGCUAUUUAGGUAGCGCCUCGUGAAUUCAUCUCCGGGGGUAGAGCACUGUUUCGGCUAGGGGGCCAUCCCGGCUUACCAACCCGAUGCAAACUGCGAAUACCGGAGAAUGUUAUCACGGGAGACACACGGCGGGUGCUAACGUCCGUCGUGAAGAGGGAAACAACCCAGACCGCCAGCUAAGGUCCCAAAGUCAUGGUUAAGUGGGAAACGAUGUGGGAAGGCCCAGACAGCCAGGAUGUUGGCUUAGAAGCAGCCAUCAUUUAAAGAAAGCGUAAUAGCUCACUGGUCGAGUCGGCCUGCGCGGAAGAUGUAACGGGGCUAAACCAUGCACCGAAGCUGCGGCAGCGAACGUAUCACCCAAGACAACUUUACGGAGUUGACGAUUGACGGAGCGAAGCGACGUCAAAGCGUUCAUUAAAGUCGAGUUGGCUUAGGGAUACGUUCGUUGGGUAGGGGAGCGUUCUGUAAGCCUGUGAAGGUGUGUCGUGAGGCAUGCUGGAGGUAUCAGAAGUGCGAAUGCUGACAUAAGUAACGAUAAAGCGGGUGAAAAGCCCGCUCGCCGGAAGACCAAGGGUUCCUGUCCAACGUUAAUCGGGGCAGGGUGAGUCGACCCCUAAGGCGAGGCCGAAAGGCGUAGUCGAUGGGAAACGGGUUAAUAUUCCCGUACUUGGUGUUACUGCGAAGGGGGGACGGAGAAGGCUAUGUUGGCCGGGCGACGGUUGUCCCGGUUUAAGCGUGUAGGUGUGUGUUCCAGGUAAAUCCGGUUCACUUUAACACUGAGGCGUGACGACGAGGCACUACGGUGCUGAAGCAACAAAUGCCCUGCUUCCAGGAAAAGCCUCUAAGCAUCAGGUAACACGAAAUCGUACCCCAAACCGACACAGGUGGUCAGGUAGAGAAUACCAAGGCGCUUGAGAGAACUCGGGUGAAGGAACUAGGCAAAAUGGUGCCGUAACUUCGGGAGAAGGCACGCUGACACGUAGGUGAAGUGAUUU